ensembl:lncRNA
CUCUGACCCCAGGCCCCUGGUAACGAGACAUCUCUGUGCAGAGCACGGCUGGCUCACCCGGCACCCAGCCACAAUCUUCCCUGCGUUGCAAGGAGCUCCUGCACCACACAGGUGCUCCUGUCACAGGAAGCCCACGGCCACAGGAAAAGGAAAAACAGUUUUUAGACAAGGAGACCCCUCAUCACAGGGGAAAUUGUUUUGGUAACUGCUUGCUCAGGCGAGGGCAGGUCUACAGAUGCCAGUUCAAAGGCACCAGCAGCUCGUGGAGGGGAGAGCCGCCGGGCGCUCCCUUCUGCUUGCUGUGUGAAGGCUGGCCAUGAAGGGAGUGUCUUCUCCACGCAGCACACCCCUCUGAUGCGAAGACCACACACCCUCUGAUGGACACAUGCCUGACGAGACUCUGCACAAGGCCAGGAGUUUCCCAGCAAGACAACUUGAGUUUACGCCAACACUCAGCUGGGCGAUCGAUGCACGGAAACGCUCCCUCACAGAACACAGGCACAGUGAUGUCAGCCAGAAAGAUUUCACAGCAUGGCUUGAUGAGCUGUGCCAUGCUCGGACGGACCUGAACCGGGAACCUCGGGACCCCCGAAGUGGAGCCUGUGAUCUUGACCACUGUGCCACGGCCGGCCCCUUGGGGUAGCUUUCUAAGAGCAACAAGCUGGUGGACACGAUUGUGUGUCGAAGCUGCUCCUGUUACAGAAGAGCGAGGAGAGGAGGCCCCAGCGCGUGCACGCCGAGGUGUCCUCUGCGGGAGCGCGCGGGGCCCUAGAGGCGUCGCGGGCCGUCACCUCCCGGGAGAAGAGCGGCCCCUCCUCGCUGCGCCGCCGCCGACCGGCCGGGAGAUGGUGCUGCGCCCUCGGCCCCGGCGGGACGGCGGCGCGGAUCGCCGAGCGCGGGCCGGACAGAGCGACGGGCCGGCCUGGCCUCCCCGCUUCCCGCGAUGCGAGGCCGGAGCCCGCGGCGCCCGUUGUGCCGGGCUCCCCCGCGGCCGCCGAAGCUGAGGACGGCCUCCGCGUCUUCCUCCGCAAAGGGACGGUUUGGGCUCGCACUGCGGGGUGACAGAGCCCUUCGGGCCGCCGGCUCCAGCAGCAGCGAUGACGGUCCUCACGUCUACGGGGUGACGGGGGCCCUGCGCUCGCUCUCGGGGGUCGCGCCCGACCAUCCCCGCGCCUCGGCUGCAUCGCUGCCCCUGCUCCGGGGGGAGCGGUCGCCGGGCCUGCGGGUCAGGCCGCCUGGUCCGUAGGUUCCGCCCCGUCGCCUGGGCCACAUCUGCUGGUCGCAGCAGGUCCAAGGCCAGCUCGACCCAACGGGCGGGGUCAUAGGCCCCAGCUCUCCGUGGACCGGGAUAAAUCACACGCCCGCGAGCAUGCUGGGAGGCGGACUUCGGGGCCAUCCUAUUUGAUCCGCAAAAACAGGGCAGGAGGGAGAUAACGGAGGGAGACGGUGAAGCAGCUGGGCUACACGGACAAGUUCCUCACUCCAGUACAUCGGGGAGUUAUUCGUGCUCAGGACCAGCUGGACCAGUUGCUGGUUCUGCCUGUGCUGGUACUGAGCUCCUCUGAUGUGCUGACUGCCGUUACCUCGGAGUAAUGUCGACCUCCUCUACCUGCGGACUCUUGCUGAACUUCUGUUCCGCCAGCCAGGAAUCACCUUCACCUGCUGUUUUCAGCUCGAAGGCUGUUGCCUCCCUAUGGUUGCUGGCUUCCUCUCCAUACUGCCCUUCUCCUCCUUCUGGCUGGUGGCAAGCUUCCCCUUGAGCUCGUCACGUUCUUCAGUGCAGCACAACACAGAGUAAAGGUCCAUGGGUGUUUAUGCGGCGGCUGGAGCAGCCAGAAGAACCCUCUGCUCACCAACACCUUCCUCUGUCUCCCAAGUCCUUCCUGUCGGCUCCUUGCAGACAGACGGCUAAGUUCACCUGGGCACAAACAAGUCAAAGGCUUCCUUAUGCUGGUUCCAGACAUCCACCACGAAUGUGGAUGAUGAGCCUAUGGGGCUGCCGCACUGCAGAGCCAACACGGGGUGAAAAUGAAUCGAGCACGUCCUGCAGGUGCCUCUGCUGAGGGAUCUUUUCACGCUGAGGACACUGAACAGAGAGAAUAUGCAGCUGGUCACAGAAAGCCGUUCAGCUAUUUCAAAGCUUCUACACAAAACAAAACGUUCCAUAAAGUUUGCUUGAAAGUUGAAUUGUAUAAAAUAUGGUUAUCUCCACUCUUUCAUUUUUAU